rnacentral:rRNA from 1 species
UACGAGGGGGGCAAGCGUUGUUCGGAAUUAUUGGGCGUAAAGCGCGCGUAGGCGGCUCGGAAAGUCGGUCGUGAAAUGCCGGGGCUCAACCCCGGGACUGCGUCCGAUACUCCCGAGCUGGAGGCAGGUAGGGGAGAUCGGAAUUCCUGGUGUAGCGGUGAAAUGCGCAGAUAUCAGGAGGAACACCGGUGGCGAAGGCGGAUCUCUGGGCCAUUACUGACGCUGAGGAGCGAAAGCGUGGGGAGCGAACAGG